AGUCGAGCGGUAACAGGAAUUAGCUUGCUAAUUUGCUGACGAGCGGCGGACGGGUGAGUAACGCGUAGGAAUCUGCCUGGUAGUGGGGGACAACAUGUGGAAACGCAUGCUAAUACCGCAUACGCCCUACGGGGGAAAGGAGGGGAUCUUCGGACCUUUCGCUAUCAGAUGAGCCUGCGUGAGAUUAGCUAGUUGGUGGGGUAAAGGCUCACCAAGGCGACGAUCUCUAGCUGGUCUGAGAGGAUGAUCAGCCACACUGGGACUGAGACACGGCCCAGACUCCUACGGGAGGCAGCAGUGGGGAAUAUUGGACAAUGGGGGCAACCCUGAUCCAGCCAUGCCGCGUGUGUGAAGAAGGCCUUAGGGUUGUAAAGCACUUUCAGGAGUGAGGAAGGGUGUACGGUUAAUACCCGUAUAUUUUGACGUUAACUCCAGAAGAAGCACCGGCUAACUCUGUGCCAGCAGCCGCGGUAAUACAGAGGGUGCGAGCGUUAAUCGGAAUUACUGGGCGUAAAGCGCGCGUAGGCGGUUUGUUAAGUCGGAUGUGAAAUCCCAGGGCUCAACCUUGGAAUGGCACCCGAUACUGGCAGGCUAGAGUACGGUAGAGGGGUGUGGAAUUUCCUGUGUAGCGGUGAAAUGCGUAGAUAUAGGAAGGAACAUCAGUGGCGAAGGCGACACUCUGGACCGAUACUGACGCUGAGUGCGAAAGCGUGGGGAGCAAACAGGAUUAGAUACCCUGGUAGUCCACGCCGUAAACGAUGUCUACUAGCCGUUGGGAAUUUUAUUUUUAG
rnacentral:rRNA from 1 species